CCCUAAUCAUAACAGCGGAUGGUGGGCUUAGUUGAAUCCAGAAUAGAACGCUAGGCAGUGGGUUGGAUUCACAUAAUUCAUGGAUUUGUUUUCUUUUUUGUAUUUCUCUAUUGUUUUGGUGGAAGCUGUGUGGGAGUGUGUUGGUGCUACACCAGCCACUGUAGCAAUGGGAGAGGAGGAGACAACUGUAAGCCUGAGCGAUAUCUUUUCCCUCUCCCUCCACUUACUUACUCUGGCCCCCCUCCCUCUCGUCCUCAUGCUUCUUUUCAUUCCUCGCCACAGCCAUCAGGACCCAUCUUUCCUCUCUUACCAUCUUUCUAUUUGGUUAUGCAUUGCACAGUCCUCACACGGUGACUAACUGGUGUUGGACAUCUACCAUAACACUGCUGUCACUGGUGGUUGCUACAGAUUUAUUGUGGUACAGAGACGAGCUCUCAGGCUGCAUUUGCUUCUUUUUAGACGGCUGGAUCUUGGGAUUUUACCCCUUCUACAGUUUCUACUGGGAUAUUACUUGCUAGACUCUUAAUUCGUGGACCUGCCUGUUCUCACUCAGCUCACCGGAGACUGGGUGUCACCGACACACGAUCAGCUCACCCGACAGACAUGAUCAUGAUCGCUGGCAUGGGAGCUUUGAUAAUGGGCUAUUUUAUAAUGCAUCUAUUCAAAUGACACUCAAAGAGGUCAAAGGCAACAGCAUCGUGCUGAGGUAGUGUACAUUUAUGGAUACACUGUGGAAGAAGGUUGUAGGGUUUUGUGGCAGAGUUUAGGCAAAGCAGGUAACAGAGAGCUCAAAAGACGGAGCAGACAAAAAAAGAUGAGAGGAAUGCCAGAGGGGUUGGGAUGGAAUAGAUGAGACUCGUGCUGCCAGAGUCUUAGCAGACGUGAUAUAAAUCUACUGACUGGCAACAGAAUAGAGAGACUUGGGAGGGUGAAGUAAAAUAAAGGGAAGUAAUAGGAUGGACUGAUUUUACAGGUGGUAAAAUGAGGAAUAUGGGGAAAAGGGAGUGAUUUUCUAUGAGCGCUCUCUCCCAUCACCGAGACUGUCCAGAUAUCCAGUCUCUCCCUAUUUUUCCCUGGGUCGUCACAUGGAUUAGCUGUACACCCACAUUUCUUCCACGAGGACCUAAAGAGCAUGCUGGAUAAUGUAUACCUGAAACGCCUUAAGGUGUGUCCUUGCCAGUUUGGGUGAGCAUCAGGACCAUGGGCACCACUGUCAUCACCCUUAAUGAUGUGCAGGCACUGGAGAUUAAGGAGGAACAGGAGGAGUCCAUCUUGGCCAUGCUGGGCAUCGUUGGCACUUUCCUCAACCUCUUCGUGAUAGUUUUUGUUUACAUUUACACCACGCUGUGAGGAAGGAACCUUACGACUGGAUAAUACUGAUCAAUAGUCAGUCAUUAGGGAACUGGUUAACAGGAGUCUGACAUGAACAUCUAUCCCAGAUAUAGAUGGAGAAAACUACAGAAAGUGACCGACGAUGAGAAAGACAAAGCCCUAUUGCCCAAUCACGUGUCUGUGCUGGAGAGAUAACAAAGGGAUGACAGAUCUGGAAAGAACAGGACUUGCCUGGAAUGAGAAUGAGACAAGUUAAAAGAAAAAUAGAAGUCCCCCAGCCAGGACUGACUGUCCAGGGACCUUAAAGAUAAAAUGAACCUUUACUGGCUUUUAUUGUCUGGGACUGCUGAACCAAAUGCAAAGAAGUUUUAAAAACAAAUCUUAAGCCAUUCCAUUUAAUUCAUAUUAAUUCUAGUGAAGCCCAUAAAACUAAAUUGUCAGGGCUGCUCUAAAACAGCAGCGCUCCUCAGCAUGGUGGUUGUGCUGUGCUGUUACCUCCCUAAAAAAAACUGCCAAUUCCCAAAUAACCUUACAUAGCCAUAUAACAUAUGCCGUCCCAGGAGAACUCAUGCUAUACCUCAACAUCCUGUUAAAGAUGGAUUUGUUAAAAAAAAUAAAAAAUUCACAUAUGGAGAUAUUUUUGUAAAAAGACAUCUUUACACAUGCAAAGAAUUUACCAUAACUUGUAAUAAAAAUGCAGCCUAUGUAUUGUGUGAUACAGCCAAACCUAUGCUAUAUUUUUGUUCAUGUUUGCUCAAAAUUCACAAAAGAUGAACGAUGUGUCUAGAGGAUGUUGGGGAAGAAAGAUGUUUUUACUUUUUAAAAGUUUGUUUCAAAAAUUUUACCAAUGCUGUUUUUAUGAAUAUCUGAAUGAUGUCUACAUGUAUAGCUUAAUGGGGCCAUUUACAAAAUAAACCAUGAAGCAUUUGACAAAUGACAGCCCUAAGCGUUAAGGGUAACAAAUCCUGUGUGUAAAAGAAGACUCACUGGUGGCUGGUAGUCAAGCGUAAGGCACACGAGAAUUCACUUCUCUGCUUUAGCUUUAAAGAUUUGGGCUGGAGUUGCCAGACAUUUAACACAUUUUCAAAAAGGAAAAAUGAAGAAGUGGUAAUGACAUUCUUUCAAUACAAGGAACAUCCUACUUUAACAGCAAGGAAAAGCUUAAAGUAAUGGAAACUACCAUUCAGAGUGUGAAUGGUUAUAAACAAGAGCAAAUCCACAUGGACAGAAUGUACCUGAAUAGCUUUCAUGUAAUCAUGACUCUAACAACACACCUGAUGAUGUGGGAUAUCACAAGAUGAUUGUAUAAAAGCUGGGUUUCUGUCUCUGA